rnacentral:rRNA from 1 species
UCCAGGGUGUAAACGCUGUGGGCUUGGUGUUGGGUGUCCUACGAGGGCAUCCAGUGCCGUAGAGAAAUUGUUAAGCUUACUGCCUGGGGAGUACGCUCGCAAGAGUGAAACUUAAAGGAAUUGGCGGGGGAGCACCGCAACGGGUGGAGCGUGCGGUUUAAUUGGAUUCAACGCCGGAAAACUCACCGGGGGAACUGCCGUAGAGAGUCAGGCUGAAGACCUUACUCAUUAAA